rnacentral:lncRNA from 1 species
UGAACGCCCCAGGGUCGGUGACACCUCCAUGGGCUGUCCAUUCCAGUGCCUGAUCACCCCUUCUGAAAAGUAAUACUUCCUAAUGUCCAGCUUGAAUCUCCCCUGCAGAACUGAAGUUUGAUUGGAAUAGAAUAGCACUGUUUUGUGGUCUUAAAUCUGACACGUGUUUUCUCCUUGGGCUUCAGGUACAGAUAUUGAUUAAUAAUGACUUUGGAGAAGGUUUCACUAUCCAGUCUCCUGAUCAGGAAGGAAGAACAAGAUUUUUGGAGGACUUAAUCAUGAAUGGAGCUGCUGCUGAACCUCCACUUCCAGGAAGCAGGCAGGCUGGGCAGACACGGGAAGCACUGCCUGCAGCAGCACUGGCUGAGCUCCGUGUGCCAGAGGAAGGAAAGCGGCGUCUGGAGGAGCAGGAGGAGGAGAGCCUGCGUGACUCUGCGUGUUCUGCAGGGCCGUUCCUCACAGACUGCCGCUGACAGACGUUUGGGGCACUGCAGAGCCUGUUGGUGCAGAGGAGCCUUCCUCCUCAGUUACUCGCAUCCUACAGCAGUGAAGGACUUCCCUUGCUCUGUAGGAAUGGUUCCUGUGCAACGGCAUGGUCGUCUGCCUGUAAUAGGCAGCUGAAUGAGCAGUGGGACUGCAGCUUCUCUGGCAGUCUUGCAGCUACGUCAGGAAGUAGCAGAUGUGGAUUUGAAAGAAGAACUCAGUUCCUGGGACGUUCCCCUGUUCUUCCCCUAGCUGUCCCCUUGCCCCAGCUCAGAUACCCCUUGCAUUCCUGCAGGUGUCUCUUCCAUCCCCCUGACUGCCCCUUGCUUUCCCCAAGGCUGCCCUUUCCCAUGACACCCAUAAUUCCCUCAGAGUAGCAGUAGCGCCCUCAAUAUUUCCCAUCCAGGACCCCUUUAGCCACCCCACAGCCCCCCACAAAGCCCCAUAGCUGCUCCAGGGCCUAGUA